rnacentral:rRNA from 1 species
UACAGAGGUCCCAAGCGUUGUUCGGAUUUACUGGGCGUAAAGCGCACGUAGGCGGAUCGUUAAGUCGGGGGUGAAAUCCUGGAGCUCAACUCCAGAACUGCCUUCGAUACUGGCGAUCUUGAGUCCGGAAGAGGUGAGUGGAACUCCUAGUGUAGAGGUGGAAUUCGUAGAUAUUAGGAAGAACACCAGUGGCGAAGGCGGCUCACUGGUCCGGUACUGACGCUGAGGUGCGAAAGCGUGGGGAGCAAACAGG